rnacentral:rRNA from 1 species
GAUGAACGCUAGCGGCAGGCUUAACACAUGCAAGUCGAGGGGUAGAAGUCUUCGGACUUUGAGACCGGCGCACGGGUGCGUAACGCGUAUGCAAUCUGCCUUCCACAGAGGGAUAGCCCAGAGAAAUUUGGAUUAAUACCUCAUAGCAUUGAGAACCGGCAUCGGUUUUCAAUUAAAGUCACAACGGUGGAAGAUGAGCAUGCGUCCCAUUAGCUAGUUGGUAAGGUAACGGCUUACCAAGGCUACGAUGGGUAGGGGUCCUGAGAGGGAGAUCCCCCACACUGGUACUGAGACACGGACCAGACUCCUACGGGAGGCAGCAGUGAGGAAUAUUGGUCAAUGGGCGCAAGCCUGAACCAGCCAUGCCGCGUGCAGGAUGACGGUCCUAUGGAUUGUAAACUGCUUUUGUACGGGAAGAAACACUCCCUCGUGAGGGAGCUUGACGGUACCGUAAGAAUAAGGAUCGGCUAACUCCGUG